rnacentral:rRNA from 1 species
AUUGAACGCUGGCGGCAUGCCUAACACAUGCAAGUCGAGCGGAGCGGCGGACGGGUGCGUAAUGCCUAGGAAUCUGCAUGGUAGUGGGGGAUAACGUCCGGAACCGGGCGCUAAUACCGCAUACUAUCAGAUGAGCCUAGGUCGGAUUAGCUAGUGGGUGGGGUAAAGGCCAACAAAGGCGACGAUCCGUAACUGGUCUGAGAGGAUGAUCAGUCACACUGGAACUGAGACACGGUCCAGACUCCUACGGGAGGCAGCAGUGGGGAAUAUUGGACAAUGGGCGAAAGCCUGAUCCAGCCAUGCCGCGUGUGUGAUGAAGGUCUUCGGGUUGUAAAGCACUUUAAGUUGGGAGGCGUUACCAACAGAAUAAGCACCGGCUAACUACGUGCCAGCAGCCGCGGUAAUAC